GGCACUGUAGCUCAGUCGGUUAGAGCGUAGGACUCAUAAGCCUGAGGUCUUUGAUUGGAACCCGACCCACUGUCG
rnacentral:tRNA from 1 species